CGAUUGUAAUCUUGUUUGUCACCUUCGAAGAAAUCUUGCGUGUCCCCUUAGAGGUUUUAUUGGUUUGAUUACCAUAUUAAGGGUUUGGUGGUUUAAUUCCAAGAUUUAGGAUUCAUGGGUUUGAUUAUUAACAUCCUGAUUUUUGUGGCAAGACAGGGGGGUGUUAUUCGGAAUGCUUGGGCGUAAAGGGCACGUAGGCGGUGACUCGGGUUGAAAGUGAAAGUCGCCAAAAAGUGGCGGAAUGCUCUCCAAACCAAAUCACUUGAGUGAGAUAGAGGAGAGUGGAAUUUCGUGUGUAGGGUGAAAUUCGUAAAUAUACGAAGGAACGCCGAAAGCGAAGGCAACUCUCUAGGUCCCUACCGGCGCUGGGGUGCGAAAGCAUGGUGAGCGAACAUGAUUUGAUACCCUGGUAGUCCAUGCCGUAAACAAUGAGUGUUCGCCCUUGGUAUACGCGGAUCAGGGCCCAGUUAACGCGUGAAACACUUCGCA
rnacentral:lncRNA from 1 species